AAUCAGGUUGGUUUACUUCUUUUGACUAAGACAUUAUUUUCUUUUCUUUUACACCUUCCCAAAAACACCAUUUUGGUGAAAAACUCUACAUCAGACACAGUUUUUUUGUGGAAUCAAUUUCAAAUUUCAAAUUCAUGGGUUUCAUUUCAGUUAUUCCCUCUUCAGAUCUCUCGCUCUCUCUUCUUUCGGUUUUCUUGAAACCCCUCUUGCCUCCUUCUCAGCUUCACAUAAAAGGAAAAGAGCAUGAUAGAUCGAAUAACAAAUUAGAGUGUGACUUCUUCAACUUUGUAAAGUAGAAAGAUUCACAAAAGCAGCAAUGACAAAGAUCGAUGAAGCACAGCACACAUGUUCUCCUCUAGGUUUCAUUGUUGCUUUGAAGAGAAAUGGGGUUUAAAGAGGGUGCAACCGCAAGAAAUCAAGCUGCCUAAAGAAAUAUUGUGAAUGCUAUCAGGGGGGUGUUGUUUGCUCCAUUAGCUGCAAAUGUGAAAGGUGCAAGAAUGCAUUCGGCAGAAAGGAUGGUUUUAUCAAGUAAUUUACAAAAGAUAACACUGGUCUCUUUCCUAAUUGGCACAAGUUUAUUUGGAUGGGCAACCAAGCAAAUUAUAAAUGUUAUUCAGGCCAAAAGAUUUGUAGACUAUUGGCUACUUUGGUCCUCUAAAUGAAGUUUUCAUGCCUCAUGAUUAUUAUAUUAAGUUCAACAGUUGUUGAUGUCUUUCAGGAUCUAUUGGUUAAAGUGGAUACAAGCUGAAGGGAAAUAUGGGAAUAACUUUCAAUAUCAAGCUUUCAAUAUUUCUCACUUAAUUAGACUAACUACAAUUUAGUAAUUCUAACUUCUAUGUAUUAUGGAUUCAAUCUUACCAAAUUAGAUUGAUUGCAACUUAAGAAUUCCAAUUUUAAUGAUA